UGAGGGAAACCUUCACAGACAUCACAGCAGACACAAUUUGAGGAGGUCUGGCUUAGUCUGAACAAUCCCAUUUCUUGGUAAUUUCACAAAAUAAUGACCUACCUAGUUUCUAUGUAGCUUUGGAAGCAAGCUAAACAACAUUAGCUAACAUAUAUAAAUAUCUAAGUAGCCAAAGCUUAGGUUAAUCUCCUGGAAUGCUCAUUUUAUGAGUCUUCAAAUCCUUGGCUCUGUUUAUUUCAGGAAUUCACUGUAUAAGGUACAAGAGACCCCUCUGGCUGAGUGCCCAUCUGUGACAUAUGGCCAUUGCAAUUCUGCAAAUUGUCUAACCUCUCCAUACCUAGGUUUGGUCACCUGUAAACUGUACAUAAUGUGUGCCUUGCAGAGAAGUAAACAACAAACUAAAAUUGAAAGACCUUUCGCAGUCCCUGACCUGUUCAGUAGCUCUGAAAGCCAGCGGCCUUAAAGAAAUAUUUCUUGCUUACUCCCCAAGCCCUGCUGUACUCUGGGACAGGGUCCUGGCUUUUAUGGCUAUAGUCAUGAGACUGUAUAAUGUGUUGAUGACCCAUUGCAAUUUGUCCUCUCAAAGUGUUUGCAUUUACCCUGUGACUUCAUCCAGAGUAAAAUAUUUUUCUAAAUAUGAGUGUUCCCACAUGACACCAAUUAUCUAGAGGUUGUUUUGAUUUUUUGCCAGAGUUUGGAAUGAGUUCAAAGGAAAGGUGUAUUGAGGAACUAAUACUGAGAUUUUCUCUCUCAAGCCUACCUAUCCCUCAGUGAACUUCUUUAGAUUUCGGCAUUGAAAAGUGAAAGGAAAAAAGCUGUAUGUGUCUUUUUGUGUCAUUUUGUGCGAAGAGGGAAAGAGAAGGAGAAACCAGUGCUCAGUGAACAGGACCUCAGUGCUCUUUCAGUGCCUGGAGUUAAGCCUUUAGGAAUUCCAGUGCUAAUUGACAGCAGUUUGAGGAUUAAUGGAAAGAUCAUCUGGUCUGUAUUAAAAGAGACUGCCUAGGGCUCACAUGUGACUAUGAAUCAACAUAUUGAAAAGGGAGUAGGAAGGUGUUAUAACAAAUAGUUGGAAGAAAAGUCUUGGAUAAGUACAUUCUUUUUUACCCUCUGUUAGGCUCAGUUUUCUCAACUGUAAAAUGAGAAGAGUUACAGUAGUUACUGGGAGGCAUGGAAUGAUGUUCAAAAUGCAUAAGACAUGUAAAUCCUUUAGCCUGUUUGUUGGCUUUGCUUGAGUUCUCUCACUUUCUCUCCAUUGACAAGGUGAAAUAUUCUUAAGGGUAUUUACUGUCAUUGAAUUGAUACUACAAUUUCUUAAAUGCUUAGAGUCACCUGAGGUACAGAACAAUACUUUUCAGAAGAAAUAUUUCAUUGUGUAGCUUUGUAAUGGAUGAUUGCACCCAUUGAAACCUCGAGUUCAUAUUUUAUAGAACAAUAUGCUAAUAAUAAAAUAUGAUCCUCAGUGUACAUUGCUUUUAGGUUACCUUGCUGGGGCUAUAAUUCUUAACAGAAAUUAUAAAAUCUAUUCAAAGUAAGUAAAAAUGGGAAAUCUAGGAUUUAACCUGUUUUGGUCUUCUAUUACAGUAUAAUUUUUAGCACAUACUUUAUGUUUCAUUUUAAUAAUUCUUAGAAUAAGUGUUGCUUAGGGUCCCACCGCGUCCCCAGGGCUCUUUCUGUUACAAGUCUGCCAGAAACAAAGAUGAUCCAAAAGACGCCCACUCUUUCAAUCUUCCAAACUAUUGAAACAAUGGAUCAAAAUAAAAUGUUAAUUUUCCCCAAGAAUUUUAUACUAGGGAGAGAAAAAGGCCUGCAAGAGAAGGGAAACUGGCCUCACUGAAGAAAUUUCACAAUGUUGUAUCAACUUGUUAAGCCAGAACACAGCAAGUGUACAGAACGUAGCAACACCAGGACUGCUGAAAUGUGUAAAGGCUCAACACUCUCUUUAAGUUUAAUCUCACUUCAGGACACUAAAGGCUGACUUGAGGAGUUCACUGGAUUUCUUUAUCCCUUUCCCCAACAUGACCACAUUAAGUUAAUCUCCCCUUUCUAAUUUGACAAGUUGAUUUGCUUACAGAGGAUAGGUGAAUGCAUCUGGUUUGGGUUCCAGCUCUGAUUCUGAGUUGGAUAAAAUUUCUGAUGAGGAAGUAUUUAGCAUCAUCUAUUUAAUUCAGGGACAACAUACUGAGUUAGAGUCACUAUUAGACAUUUAUUAUUUAUAUCUUCUCAUUUGAUUAGGCUUCAUUGAAUCUGACUUAGUUAAGUGAAGACCAAGAUUUUUAUUUUGGAUGAUAUGUACUACCUCAUAUGAAUUCCAACUUACUACUGUAAGACAAAGCUACACACUAAUCAACUAUUUACACAACAAUAACAUAGAACUC
rnacentral:lncRNA from 1 species